UGAUGCUGCAAGUUGUCAGCUCAUAGCCGAGUAAGUUGUACAGAACAUUCAGCCGGGACGUACGUAUUAAAAUCCCGGGUGUCCGAGGAUACACGCAGGUGUGAGAGCUGUGCAGCUGCACGCACAGGUGUCGAUGAUAGAAGAGUCAGGCUAACGAGGAAAACCUCCCAAAGAGCUACGCCUGCUGCUAAGACACCAACUGAGGUUUCAUUUCAGAUCAUGGCUCAAGACGAUGCACUCAGCAGUGGAACAGUAAACAAGAAAAUCAGCCAUUCAUCACAAUAACUAAUUGGCUGACAAUGGAUCAAAUGCUUCCUAUAGCUGAGGGCCUGACCACAGUGGAUGCCCGCCAAUAGUGUUGGACAAAUCAGUUGUUCUCUGGGGACAAAUGCUGCCAGUGUGCCAGGAUCAAUGACUCUCUGCCUCAUUUCAGUCAGUGGAAAAUUACUGGAUGAACCCAACCUCUGCAUUUAUGAACUCCACUUCAUGUGUUUUCACAUCAGCAAUGAUCAGCUGCUCUUUGCCACAGACAGUACUGGACCCAUCUUCGAGCCAUGUGUUGUGUAAUGUCCCUCCUGGCGUUUUGGACAAUGUUGCUCUUUCAUUAGUGAGUUUUGGCAAAGCGUACUGACCACAUGAAAUGACUGCUGCAACAAAUUUCUUCUUGCCCCCAGGAGAUCAAACUCUAAACUCAUCUGGUCGGCCUAACUGACAGUGUUUCAGUGGGAGAUUUUACAAACCAACCACAUAUCCCAUUGUAUCUGUAGGCUUCUUUGCAGAAAGAAGCCUACAGAUAUAAAAUAUAAUUUUAUAGGAUUCCAAGACCUUGAAAACAUGAAUGAUGAUGAUGAAUGAAAAAUCCCCAUUAGACUGAACUUUCAGAUUUUUAUUUUCAUAAUAAGCUUAGUGUUAUAUUUUUUGCUUCCAAUUUAAUUGAAUUAUUGGUUUGUGUACUGAAAUAAUCCUCAAUAUUCUUUUCCAGAAAAGUGUUUAGUUGUUGCUCUUUCAUUAGUGAGUUUUGGCAAAGCGUACUGACCACAUGAAAUGACUGCUGCAACAAAUUUCUUCAACUCUAAACUCAUCUGGUUGGCCUAACUGACAAUGUUUCAGUGGGAGAUUUUACAAAUCAACCACAUAUCCCAUUGUUUGUGUUUCAAAGUCGAACUUUGAGUUCUGAUGACCCAAUAUCUGAGAAUGGGAAUCAGCCAGCGUCAGACACAUAAUAGUGUAAUUCGAGACUCCUGUAGGAGAGUGACAUCCAGUCGCCCAUUUGAUAGUCAGUCCACAGGAUAUUUUCAGUUUUGAGACCAAAAAUUAGAAAGAUUAUACGAUAAUGUAAAUUCUGAUAGGUUACAAUACAAUUUCAUUUUUGAGAUAAAGCUACAGUGAUAUUGUCAUUUGUUUGGAGGGGGCUUGACAUGGAACAAGUCUAAAUAAUGUAGGUGCAGUACAGUCCUUUGUUUGGAAGGACAGUGUAAUAUCUCCAACGCGAGCGAAUUCAGGUCAUAGUGGUCACAGUAUGUUAGAGGUCUGUGUGCUGACCUCAAAAAAUGCAUUUUCUUGUCACAUUCUCCCCUAUAUUUCCUUGGCAAAAAAUUAAAGAUGGCAUUUCCAACUGUA